rnacentral:rRNA from 1 species
UACGGAGGGUGCAAGCGUUAAUCGGAAUUACUGGGCGUAAAGCGCACGUAGGCGGUUUUGUAAGUCGCAUGUGAAAGCCCCGGGCUUAACCUGGGAAUUGCAUGCGAUACUGCAUUACUAGAGUAUGUUAGAGGGAAGUGGAAUUCCGGGUGUAGCGGUGAAAUGCGUAGAUAUCCGGAGGAACACCAAUGGCGAAGGCAGCCCCCUGGGUCAACACUGACGCUCAUGCACGAAAGCGUGGGGAGCAAACAGG